rnacentral:rRNA from 1 species
CACGUAGGGCGCAAGCGUUUGUCCGGAAUUAUUGGGCGUAAAGAGCUCGUAGGCGGUCUGUUGCGUCCGCUGUGAAAACUCGGGGCUUAACCCCGAGCCUGCAGUGGAUACGGGCAGACUAGAGGUAGGUAGGGGAGAAUGGAAUUCCCGGUGUAGCGGUGAAAUGCGCAGAUAUCGGGAGGAACACCGGUGGCGAAGGCGGUUCUCUGGGCCUUACCUGACGCUGAGGUGCGAAAGCGUGGGGGAGCAAACAGG